CUACGGGUUGCUGCAGUGGGGAAUAUUGCACAAUGGAGGAAACUCUGAUGCAGCAACGCCGCGUGGAGGAUGACACUUUUCGGAGCGUAAACUCCUUUUAUAUAGGAAGAAGAUGACGGUACUAUAUGAAUAAGCGCCGGCUAACUCCGUGCCAGCAGCCGUGGUAAUACGGAGGGCGCAAGCGUUACUCGGAAUCACUGGGCGUAAAGAGCGUGUAGGCGGAUUAAAAAGUCAGAAGUGAAAUCCUAUAGCUUAACUAUAGAACUGCUUCUGAAACUCUUAAUCUAGAAUAUGGGAGAGGUAGAUGGAAUUUCUGGUGUAGGGGUAAAAUCCGUAGAGAUCAGAAGGAAUACCGAUUGCGAAGGCGAUCUACUAGAACAUUAUUGACGCUGAGACGCGAAAGCAUGGGGAGCAAACAGGAUUAGAUACCCUGGUAGUC
rnacentral:rRNA from 1 species